AUCCAACUGACGUGUCCCAAUUCAGACGAAACGUGCGUCCUGUAU
rnacentral:hammerhead_ribozyme from 1 species